GAACCAUUAAAAAACCCAAAAUAAAUUCUUUCCAAGGUCAUUCGAACUCCCUCCCCAAUUCGAGACUCUCUUUCCUCCGAGCCCUAACUCAAACAUUCCACUGGCCACUCACCACACCGGCGUUCGUGACCGUGGAAUGGCAGGAAGCAUUCUGGCAGAUCGAACAACCCUUAACAGUUCAUACCGGUGGUUAGCAUUCAUCGGAACAAAGGUAAUCUUGUGCUUCUUGCAGUCACAGGAGAUGGAAAUUGUUUUCGAAGCAACAAAAUACCUGCGUAGCUUUCCUCAGUUAUGAACUAAUCCCUGUGUUUAUAGCGUGGGAACUUGAGAAACCACCAUUGCAAGAACACGAGAUUAUCGCUGGCUUGAGAAAGCAAAUGCAAAAAAAAGUUUCAGAGCACCGAAGAAUUUACUACUUGCACAUAACCCAUGCCUUUGAAUCAACAUAGUAGCUAAUCUAGAUUAGGAAAAUUCUUUUUUUUGUCCCCGUGUUUUCUAGAAAUUACUGAAAUUUCUAAGACAUGCCUGUUAUCUUAUCAUCGACAGCGACAUAGGAGGUAUCAAUUGAAAAAGAGAACCCACCUCCUACAGGUGCCUCUAAGUA